AGGCAGCAGUGAGGAAUAUUGGUCAAUGGGCGCGAGCCUGAACCAGCCAAGUAGCGCGCAGGAUGACGGCCCUAUGGGUUGUAAACUGCUUUUAUGCGGGGAUAAAGUGAGGGACGCGUCCCUUUUUGCAGGUACCGCAUGAAUAAGGACCGGCUAAUUCC
rnacentral:rRNA from 1 species